GUAACCAGGGAGACUGCAGUUUGCAGUGAUGUGGCUAAGAUACCCUUGUGCUAUUAAAGGCACAUUUACGUAUCUUUCAACGCAGUUUGUACCUUUGUUUAGGGUUCUAUUGAACUUUCUCUGUGCUCUUUAGAAAACCGUCGAAUAAAGGUAACCAUCUUUUUGGGUGCCUGGGCAUGGUCAUUGUCCCAGAGUUUUAACAGAAGUCUCUACUAAAGUAUCCUGAUUUGCAAGGACUCAAAUGAUGCUGUUUUUGGACAGGGAGGUCAUGGACCAAGUACAAAGCGGCAAAAGGAUGGAAUUAAGGUACCUGACAUUGUUGAACCCAUGCCUGAUGCCACAUUAGCUCAGGACUACCUACAUGGACAUGCAUUUAGGUGGCUCUUCUAUUCUCUAAGACCUCAGAAUUCUCUUUAUUCUGGAAUUGGUUGCAUAUGAUAUUUCCAGUGAAAGAAAGAAGAAAGCAUGCUUUUCUCUUGACUGUGCAGAAAAAAAAACUAUGUUUCUUUGAUUCUCCAUUUUACUAGAUGCCAUACCUUUGCAAUUACUUCAUGUGGAGUCUUGACCAAGAUUCAGGAAAUACUAGAACUUUCAGUCCCAGAAGGUUACUCUGGGCAUUACUAGUCCCCAUCAUUAUGAGUUGAGUUUUACUAGUUAAUUUCAGACGAAAAAUAUUUGUUUUUCCCCAAAUUCUGGGGUUACGUACUUUUACUACCUAUGAACUGA
rnacentral:lncRNA from 1 species